rnacentral:rRNA from 1 species
AACUCUGGUAUUGAUUGGUGCUUGCAUCAUGAUUUACAUUUGAGUGAGUGGCGAACUGGUGAGUAACACGUGGGAAACCUGCCCAGAAGCGGGGGAUAACACCUGGAAACAGAUGCUAAUACCGCAUAACAACUUGGACCGCAUGGUCCGAGUUUGAAAGAUGGCUUCGGCUAUCACUUUUGGAUGGUCCCGCGGCGUAUUAGCUAGAUGGUGGGGUAACGGCUCACCAUGGCAAUGAUACGUAGCCGACCUGAGAGGGUAAUCGGCCACAUUGGGACUGAGACACGGCCCAAACUCCUACGGGAGGCAGCAGUAGGGAAUCUUCCACAAUGGACGAAAGUCUGAUGGAGCAACGCCGCGUGAGUGAAGAAGGGUUUCGGCUCGUAAAACUCUGUUGUUAAAGAAGAACAUAUCUGAGAGUAACUGUUCAGGUAUUGACGGUAUUUAACCAGAAAGCCACGGCUAACUACGUGCCAGCAGCCGCGGUAAUACGUAGGUGGCAAGCGUUGUCCGGAUUUAUUGGGCGUAAAGCGAGCGCAGGCGGUUUUUUAAGUCUGAUGUGAAAGCCUUCGGCUCAACCGAAGAAGUGCAUCGGAAACUGGGAAACUUGAGUGCAGAAGAGGACAGCGGAACUCCAUGUGUAGCGGUGAAAUGCGUAGAUAUAUGGAAGAACACCAGUGGCGAAGGCGGCUGUCUGGUCUGUAACUGACGCUGAGGCUCGAAAGUAUGGGUAGCAAACAGGAUUAGAUACCCUGGUAGUCCAUACCGUAAACGAUGAAUGCUAAGUGUUGGAGGGUUUCCGCCCUUCAGUGCUGCAGCUAACGCAUUAAGCAUUCCGCCUGGGGAGUACGGCCGCAAGGCUGAAACUCAAAGGAAUUGACGGGGGCCCGCACAAGCGGUGGAGCAUGUGGUUUAAUUCGAAGCUACGCGAAGAACCUUACCAGGUCUUGACAUACUAUGCAAAUCUAAGAGAUUAGACGUUCCCUUCGGGGACAUGGAUACAGGUGGUGCAUGGUUGUCGUCAGCUCGUGUCGUGAGAUGUUGGGUUAAGUCCCGCAACGAGCGCAACCCUUAUUAUCAGUUGCCAGCAUUAAGUUGGGCACUCUGGUGAGACUGCCGGUGACAAACCGGAGGAAGGUGGGGAUGACGUCAAAUCAUCAUGCCCCUUAUGACCUGGGCUACGCACGUGCUACAAUGGAUGGUACAACGAGUUGCGAACUCGCGAGAGUAAGCUAAUCUCUUAAAGCCAUUCUCAGUUCGGAUUGUAGGCUGCAACUCGCCUACAUGAAGUCGGAAUCGCUAGUAAUCGCGGAUCAGCAUGCCGCGGUGAAUACGUUCCCGGGCCUUGUACACACCGCCCAUCACACCAUGAGAGUUUGUAACACCCAAAGUCGGU